AAUCCCAAGCCUAAGAGAUUUAGCUCAUAGCUCGGUAAAUCGAGUUCAAGUUUAAUGCAAUAAUCAACAUCAACUUUUACAAUUAAGUUCUAAAGGAAAUGCGAUAAUAAUCAAAGGAGAAAUUCUGCGAUGUUGCCUUUCACUUAUUCAGCUUUCAACACCGACAACACAAUGUCGUGCAUCUGCCAAAGAUGAUGCAGUCGUCUUCUCCUUCUUCAGCCGCCUUCCUUAUUGGUCCUUCCC
rnacentral:lncRNA from 1 species